CUGCAACCUCUGCCUCCCGGGUUCAAGCGAUUCUCAGCCUCCCAAGCAGCUGGGAUGACAGGCGCCUGCCACCACGCCCGGCUAAUUUUUUUGUAUUUUUAGUAGAGACAGGUUCCCACCAUGACAGUCAGGCUGGACUCGAACUUCUGGCAUCAGGUGAUCCGCCCAUCUCACCCUCCCAAAGUGCUGGGAUUACAGGCGUGAGCCACCGCGCCCGGUCGAGGCUGGGGUUUCUUAACCUCGAAGUAUCACUGGGGGUCACAGGACUGACCCCUGCUUAUCCUCCCAGCACUCCAGAAACUUCUUCCAGGUGUGGGUUUCCUGUCAACCGUGGCUGAUCAGCAUCACUCAAAGGAAGGGCCCCAUGCCCCGGGUCUGUCCCCACUGCUGGCAGUUACUCACCUCUGUCUCUGCAGCCACCCUGAGCAGGCCCCAGAUGGACAGACCCUGGCACAGCAGUUUCAGCAGUUUCUGCCUCUGUUGAUUGGGACCCUGGGAAGAGGGUGAAGCAGAAAGUAUGGAAAAUACCAGGAAGAGGAUAAACCGAGGCUCAGUCCCAAAGCCCAGGACGAGCCCAGACAGCCAAGAAGUGAUGGCCUUCGCUCUUGGGGGUGUUCAAGACUUGGAGGCAGAAUGGUGCUGUCCUGACGAGCUUGGAUUCCAGAAUCAGAAUGAUGGGAAUUAAAAUCCUGACCCUAACACUUUACUGCACCUGCGCCCCAGGAUGGGCGGCUCAGCCUCUCUGAGCCUCAGUUUUUUCAUCUGAAAAAUGGAGAUACUGACAAUUCGAAUUUGUCCUGAGACCCGCCUCAGUGGGAGGAAGCCACGGUGUCCGCUCAGCUACCACCACACCUCAAGGGAACACCUUAUCAAAUCAGGCCAUGCGUCUACGGAGGACUCAGAAAAAAGCCCCUGAGGCACGGACUCUUCCUCUUUUACGAGGAUACAUCUGAUCAUCAUUUCUGGACUUCCACACCAGGAAAAUUCCUCCUCUAGGGGAUCUUGAGUGUAUCUUCUUAUUGGCAAAAACUGCGAAGCCCACAGUGCUUUCCUUUCUUGCUCUGGCUACUGGGAAGCUCAGACUCACAUUAAUGACCAAUAACAGCAGUAGCUCCUCUUUGGCUUCUGAGGUAAUUCUCUCUCCUCUUCCCACUAGACUAUUCCCC
rnacentral:lncRNA from 1 species